rnacentral:rRNA from 1 species
UACGUAGGUGGCGAGCGUUGUCCGGAUUUAUUGGGCGUAAAGCGCGUGUAGGCGGUCCGGUAAGUCCGCUGUGAAAGUCGGGGGCUCAACCCUCGAAUGCCGGUGGAUACUGUCGGGCUUGAGUGCGGGAGAGGCGAGUGGAAUUCCUGGUGUAGCGGUGAAAUGCGUAGAUAUCAGGAGGAACACCUGUGGCGAAAGCGGCUCACUGGACCAUAACUGACGCUGAUGCACGAAAGCUAGGGGAGCAAACAGG